GAUGAACGCUAGCGGCAGGCUUAACACAUGCAAGUCGAGGGGUAUAGGUUUUCGGACCUAGAGACCGGCGCACGGGUGCGUAACGCGUAUGCAAUCUACCUUUUGCAGAGGGACAGCCCAGAGAAAUUUGGAUUAAUACCUCAUAGUAUAACACAAUCGCAUGAUUGAGUUAUUAAAGUCACAACGGCAAAAGAUGAGCAUGCGUCCCAUUAGCUAGAUGGUAAGGUAACGGCUUACCAUGGCUACGAUGAGUAGGGGACCUGAGAGGGAGAUCCCCCACACUGGUACUGAGACACGGACCAGACUCCGACGGGAGGCAGCAGUGAGGAAUAUUGGUCAAUGGACGCAAGUCUGAACCAGCCAUGCCGCGUGCAGGAUGACGGUCCUAUGGAUUGUAAACUGCUUUUGUACAGGAAGAAACACUCCUUCGUGAAGGAACUUGACGGUACUGUAAGAAUAAGGAUCGGCUAACUCCGUGCCAGCCGCCGCAGUAA
rnacentral:rRNA from 1 species